AGAGUUUGAUCAUGGCUCAGAUUGAACGCUGGCGGUAGGCUUAACACAUGCAAGUCGUGCGAGAAAGUAUCUUCGGAUAUGAGUAGAGCGGCGGACGGGUGAGUAACGCGUAGGAAUCUACCUAGUAGAAGGGGAUAGCCCGGGGAAACCCGGAUUAAUACCGUAUACCUCCUUCGGGAGAAAGAAGGCCUCUCUUUGAAGCUUUCGCUACUAGAUGAGCCUGCGUAAGAUUAGCUUGUUGGUGAGGUAAAGGCUCACCAAGGCAACGAUCUUUAGCUGGUCUGAGAGGACGAUCAGCCACAUUGGGACUGAGACACGGCCCAGACUCCUACGGGAGGCAGCAGUGGGGAAUAUUGGACAAUGGGCGCAAGCCUGAUCCAGCCAUACCGCGUGUGUGAAGAAGGCCUUCGGGUUGUAAAGCACUUUAAGCAGGGAGAAAAAGUUAUAAGCUAAUACCUUAUAACCUUGAUGUUACCUGCAGAAUAAGCACCGGCUAAUUCCGUGCCAGCAGCCGCGGUAAUACGGAAGGUGCAAGCGUUAAUCGGAAUUACUGGGCGUAAAGCGCGCGUAGGUGGUUUGUUAAGUUGGAUGUGAAAGCCCUGGGCUCAACCUAGGAACUGCAUCCAAAACUAACUCACUAGAGUACGAUAGAGGGAGGUAGAAUUCAUAGUGUAGCGGUGGAAUGCGUAGAUAUUAUGAAGAAUACCAGUGGCGAAGGCGGCCUCCUGGAUCUGUACUGACACUGAGGUGCGAAAGCGUGGGUAGCGAACAGGAUUAGAUACCCUGGUAGUCCACGCCGUAAACGAUGACAACUAGCUGUUAGGAGACUAUGUCUUUUAGUGGCGCAGCUAACGUUUUAAGUUGUCCGCCUGGGGAGUACGGCCGCAAGGCUAAAACUCAAAUGAAUUGACGGGGACCCGCACAAGCGGUGGAGCAUGUGGUUUAAUUCGAUGCAACGCGAAAAACCUUACCUACGCUUGACAUACUUGGAAUACUUUGUAAUGAAGUAGUGCCUUCGGGAGCCAAGAUACAGGUGCUGCAUGGCUGUCGUCAGCUCGUGUCGUGAGAUGUUCCGUUAAGUCGGAUAACGAGCGCAACCCUUACCCUUAUUUGCCAGCGAUUCGGUCGGGAACUAUAAGGGGACUGCCGGUGAUAAACCGGAGGAAGGUGAGGACGACGUCAAGUCAUCAUGGCCCUUACG
rnacentral:rRNA from 1 species